rnacentral:rRNA from 1 species
AUGGAAUCCAGGAAAGAGAUAACUACAGCGAACCCAGAGGUUUACACAUGGAGGCCGGGACCUCAUACGACUAUCUGUCUGUCGCCCACCCAGGCAACUCUUCCCGGCAUACCCACAGCCAGCUGGCCACAGAGGAUCCCUGACCCUCGCACCGGAAGACCACAAGCAAACGCUAUCCGGCAUCCACUUGUGGGCGGUUGGCCCCACCAAGGAGGACAGGCAGGCGCCCAUCUCCGCCGUCCGUUCGCCCCCUCCGGGCCUUUCCCCCGACACGUGGAUCUCCGCGCCGGUACGUCGCCGUCGCCCCCACCCGGGGGUGACGUGUCCGCCCACCGCAGACCCCGCGACAACACCCCACCUGCGCGCUUACCUCACCGCAGAAUCACCCACGCGCCUCGUACCGCACGCGUGGCGCCGACCGGCGGGCCCAGGCCCGCGUGGCCCCGCGUGUCAGCCGCCGCGGGUGGGUCUCGAGGGACGAAAAGGGAGGGGGAGGGCGCGACGGCAAAGCUGGCCUGCGUGUGGGGCGGUGAGCUGUCGUGGGGCCCGCGGGGGGAGGAGGGAGGCCGCACGUGGCGCGCGAUGCGGCGGCCUCACGCACACGUACCCGUACCGCCCGCCCGCCCGCGGGCUUUAAAAGCGGACGGGUGCGCGGGGGGCGACGUGUCGCUGCGGCGUAGGCCCUCGGGGGUGGGACCCGCGGGGCGCGGCAAGUUGCAGCGGCUGUUUGUUGGGUGCCAGUUGCUGCCUGCUGGGUGCCCCUACAGGGUCGCGGAGAGCUACCCUCAUCGCGUGGGGCCUCCAGCCGAGCCGAGGCGAGCCGGCUCGGGGAUGCUUUUUGAUCUUGGUGUAGCUCGGCUUGGCGGCUUCGAGCUGGGAGAAACGAACGAGGUUACUGGAUUGGCGCCGUGUUCCUUUUAA